rnacentral:rRNA from 1 species
UACGAAGGGUGCAAGCGUUACUCGGAAUUACUGGGCGUAAAGCGCGCGUAGGUGGUUUGUUAAGUCUGCUGUGAAAGCCCCGGGCUCAACCUGGGAAUGGCAGUGGAUACUGGCAAGCUAGAGUGCGGUAGAGGGGUGUGGAAUUCCCGGUGUAGCGGUGAAAUGCGUAGAGAUCGGGAGGAACACCAGUGGCGAAGGCGGCACCCUGGACCAGCACUGACACUGAGGCACGAAAGCGUGGGGAGCAAACAGG